UACGAAGGGUGCGAGCGUUAAUCGGAAUUACUGGGCGUAAAGCGCGCGUAGGUGGUUUGGUAAGCGAUAUGUGAAAUCCCCGGGCUUAACCUGGGAACUGCAUGUCGAACUGCCAGGCUAGAGUAUGGUAGAGGCGUGUAGAAUUCCGGGUGUAGUGGUGAAAUGCGUAGAGAUCCGGAGGAAUACCAGUGGCGAAGGCGGCACGCUGGGCCAUAACUGACGCUAAGACGCGAAAGCAUGGGUAGCGAACGGG
rnacentral:rRNA from 1 species